rnacentral:rRNA from 1 species
UUAAGUUAUUAAGGGCGCACGGUGGAUGCCUUGGCACUAGAAGCCGAUGAAGGACGUUACUAACGACGAUAUGCUUUGGGGAGCUGUAAGUAAGCUUUGAUCCAGAGAUUUCCGAAUGGGGAAACCCAGCAUGAGUUAUGUCAUGUUAUCGAUAUGUGAAUACAUAGCAUAUCAGAAGGCACACCCGGAGAACUGAAACAUCUUAGUACCCGGAGGAAGAGAAAGAAAAUUCGAUUCCCUUAGUAGCGGCGAGCGAAACGGGAAGAGCCCAAACCAACAAGCUUGCUUGUUGGGGUUGUAGGACACUCUAUACGGAGUUACAAAGGACGACAUUAGACGAAUCAUCUGGAAAGAUGAAUCAAAGAAGGUAAUAAUCCUGUAGUCGAAAAUGUUGUCUCUCUUGAGUGGAUCCUGAGUACGACGGAGCACGUGAAAUUCCGUCGGAAUCUGGGAGGACCAUCUCCUAAGGCUAAAUACUCUCUAGUGACCGAUAGUGAACCAGUACCGUGAGGGAAAGGUGAAAAGCACCCCGGAAGGGGAGUGAAAUAGAACCUGAAACCGUGUGCUUACAAGUAGUCAGAGCCCGUUAAUGGGUGAUGGCGUGCCUUUUGUAGAAUGAACCGGCGAGUUACGAUUUGAUGCAAGGUUAAGCAGUAAAUGUGGAGCCGUAGCGAAAGCGAGUCUGAAUAGGGCGUUUAGUAUUUGGUCGUAGACCCGAAACCAGGUGAUCUACCCUUGGUCAGGUUGAAGUUCAGGUAACACUGAAUGGAGGACCGAACCGACUUACGUUGAAAAGUGAGCGGAUGAACUGAGGGUAGCGGAGAAAUUCCAAUCGAACCUGGAGAUAGCUGGUUCUCUCCGAAAUAGCUUUAGGGCUAGCCUCAAGUGAUGAUUAUUGGAGGUAGAGCACUGUUUGGACGAGGGGCCCCUCUCGGGUUACCGAAUUCAGACAAACUCCGAAUGCCAAUUAAUUUAACUUGGGAGUCAGAACAUGGGUGAUAAGGUCCGUGUUCGAAAGGGAAACAGCCCAGACCACCAGCUAAGGUCCCAAAAUAUAUGUUAAGUGGAAAAGGAUGUGGCGUUGCCCAGACAACUAGGAUGUUGGCUUAGAAGCAGCCAUCAUUUAAAGAGUGCGUAAUAGCUCACUAGUCGAGUGACACUGCGCCGAAAAUGUACCGGGGCUAAACAUAUUACCGAAGCUGUGGAUUGUCCUUUGGACAAUGGUAGGAGAGCGUUCUAAGGGCGUUGAAGCAUGAUCGUAAGGACAUGUGGAGCGCUUAGAAGUGAGAAUGCCGGUGUGAGUAGCGAAAGACGGGUGAGAAUCCCGUCCACCGAUUGACUAAGGUUUCCAGAGGAAGGCUCGUCCGCUCUGGGUUAGUCGGGUCCUAAGCUGAGGCCGACAGGCGUAGGCGAUGGAUAACAGGUUGAUAUUCCUGUACCACCUAUAAUCGUUUUAAUCGAUGGGGGGACGCAGUAGGAUAGGCGAAGCGUGCGAUUGGAUUGCACGUCUAAGCAGUAAGGCUGAGUAUUAGGCAAAUCCGGUACUCGUUAAGGCUGAGCUGUGAUGGGGAGAAGACAUUGAGUCUUCGAGUCGUUGAUUUCACACUGCCGAGAAAAGCCUCUAGAUAGAAAAUAGGUGCCCGUACCGCAAACCGACACAGGUAGUCAAGAUGAGAAUUCUAAGGUGAGCGAGCGAACUCUCGUUAAGGAACUCGGCAAAAUGACCCCGUAACUUCGGGAGAAGGGGUGCUCUUUAGGGUUAACGCCCAGAAGAGCCGCAGUGAAUAGGCCCAAGCGACUGUUUAUCAAAAACACAGGUCUCUGCUAAACCGUAAGGUGAUGUAUAGGGGCUGACGCCUGCCCGGUGCUGGAAGGUUAAGAGGAGUGGUUAGCUUCUGCGAAGCUACGAAUCGAAGCCCCAGUAAACGGCGGCCGUAACUAUAACGGUCCUAAGGUAGCGAAAUUCCUUGUCGGGUAAGUUCCGACCCGCACGAAAGGCGUAACGAUUUGGGCACUGUCUCAACGAGAGACUCGGUGAAAUCAUAGUACCUGUGAAGAUGCAGGUUACCCGCGACAGGAAGGAAAGACCCCGUGGAGCUUUACUGUAGCCUGAUAUUGAAAUUCGGCACAGCUUGUACAGGAUAGGUAGGAGCCUUUGAAACGUGAGCGCUAGCUUACGUGGAGGCGCUGGUGGGAUACUACCCUAGCUGUGUUGGCUUUCUAACCCGCACCACUUAUCGUGGUGGGAGACAGUGUCAAGCGGGCAGUUUGACUGGGGCGGUCGCCUCCUAAAAGGUAACGGAGGCGCUCAAAGGUUCCCUCAGAAUGGUUGGAAAUCAUUCAUAGAGUGUAAAGGCAUAAGGGAGCUUGACUGCGAGACCUACAAGUCGAGCAGGGUCGAAAGACGGACUUAGUGAUCCGGUGGUUCCGCAUGGAAGGGCCAUCGCUCAACGGAUAAAAGCUACCCCGGGGAUAACAGGCUUAUCUCCCCCAAGAGUUCACAUCGACGGGGAGGUUUGGCACCUCGAUGUCGGCUCAUCGCAUCCUGGGGCUGUAGUCGGUCCCAAGGGUUGGGCUGUUCGCCCAUUAAAGCGGUACGCGAGCUGGGUUCAGAACGUCGUGAGACAGUUCGGUCCCUAUCCGUCGUGGGCGUAGGAAAUUUGAGAGGAGCUGUCCUUAGUACGAGAGGACCGGGAUGGACAUACCUCUGGUGUACCAGUUGUCGUGCCAACGGCAUAGCUGGGUAGCUAUGUGUGGACGGGAUAAGUGCUGAAAGCAUCUAAGCAUGAAGCCCCCCUCAAGAUGAGAUUUCCCAACUUCGGUUAUAAGAUCCCUCAAAGAUGAUGAGGUUAAUAGGUUCGAGGUGGAAGCAUGGUGACAUGUGGAGCUGACGAAUACUAAUCGAUCGAAGACUUAAUCAA